CCAUACCCUUCACACCGCUACAAGCACAUCCCACAUUGGACGUCUAGGGUCCUUACUUACCCUCCACACCACUACGGGGACCUCCCAGGGCAGCCUUAUAGGAUCCAAACCCUCCACAGUUCUACAGGCACCUCCCAGGGCAGCUCUUUGGAGUCCUAAUACUCCACAACACUAAAGGCACCUCCCAGGACAGCUAUUUGCAGGUCCUUACCCGUGACACCGCUAAAGGCAGUUCCCAGGGCAGACAUCCGGGGUCCUAACUCUCCACACCGCUACAGGCAUCUUCCAAAGCAGCCAUGCACCUCACCCAACGCCACGAUAGGGGGUUGGUCUAGGACCCCCCCCCCCAACCCCAAACACACACCUCUCCCCACGUCCGGCCCUCAGUGGUCUACUAACCUCCCUCUACCCUCAUCUCGCACCCUCCGCCCUUCUUCAACUAUUCAGUCUAUGCAGUCAUUCUUAGUCCCCCUCAGCAGGAAUUACUCUGAAACCCAAAACAACAAACUCACCUAAUUACACUUCUAGCUAGCUAGCUUGCGACCUGCUAGCCUGUUAGCCUCCUAAUAUAGUCCGACUCUGAACAUUAUCCUGCUAGCCUUCCCCUCUUUGGGCCUAUAAAGGGGGGAGUAGAUUAGCUAGCCAGGUUUAGCCUAUGAUCUCCCUGCUUUAUCUGCCCCAAUCAGAGGGGCUCUGGAACUUUGAGGUGACUGAAAGAUCCACAGGGGGAGGAGGGGGUUACCGAUAAGCCACGGCUUCUUCCUUUUUCUUUAUGGGCAUUUCCUGUCUGACGACAGCACAGCACACCUGGAUAUGUUGUUUCCAAGGGAACCCCAGGACCAGUGCGUACGUGCCUACAUAGCUACGUAUAGACUGAACUCUAAUAAUAACUAAAGUCAUGUACAGAAAAACGAUAUAUGAAACCUGUAUGUUAUUAAGACCUUAUGGAAUGUUCAUACUAAUAAUGAUAAUAAUGAAGAUAUUGAUAACUUUAGUGGUGACGCCUGGUCCUCCUGGACCUGGAUUGAGUGACCUUCACAAGUGUCCAGCUGGAGGUCACCUGACUGACCGUUGUAACGGCUAACGCUGCUCUCCCAUUUCUAUCGGGAGAAACUACCUUCCUUUUUCCUUUUUUAAAAUUGAAUAGAUUUUUUUUUUUACAGAUAACGGUAGCUAAACGGAACAAACUUCUGCACACCUGAUGUAACGUGAGAGAGAGCGAGAGCUUUGACCGAGCGAGGAAUGUAGCCAACUGUAGCGCAUGAGUCUGCUAUGCAAAUCAACCUUCCCUCCUGACCCUUGACCUCUGACCUGACAGAUAGGAAGCAGGAAGUGGACACGCCACGAACGGACGCUUUAUUUACGAAUUUAAGUCAAGAAGAUACGUGAUUAAAUGCUGCUGUUGAAUACUGUACUAAGUCAUUGGCUCGAUUCCAAAUGACACCCGUCUCCCUAUAUACUACACACUACUUUUGGCCAGAGCCCUACAUAGGGAAUAGGGUGUGAUUUCCGAUUCGCACCAUAUACAUACAUAGUACUGAAGUGGUUCACUAUGUAGUAAGAAGGGAUAAUGUAUACCAGGGGGUAUUCAACUCUGACCCUACGAGGUCCGGAGCCUGCUAUUUUUCUGUUCUAACUGAUAAUGAAUUGCACACACCUGGUGUCCCAGGUCUAAAAUCAGUCCCUGAUUACAGGGGAACAAUGAAAAGAUGCAGUGGAACUGGCUUCGGGGUACAGAGUUGAGUUCGAGGGCUGUAUACUAUGCUCGGAACAGUCAAUGGAAAUUCAAUGCAAAGAGAGAGUGGAAGAAAGAGAGCGAUGGCGAAUGAAAGAAAGUACAUAGAGAGGAGAUAAAAUGAUGUACUGUUUGUGUGUGAAAUAGAGAUGAUGUGAGGAUGAAAGAGGGCUAGGAGUCGUUUUUAGAGAGCGAGUUGUAUGUGUUUGUGUGUGUGUAGGGUGUUUGUGUGUGUUGGUACUGGGUAUCAUUGCUUGGCGAACGAGGGAAAGAGGGAUCCUGUAUUUUUGCAAUAAAGUUAUUACCACUGCUCUCUUAAUGGGGCGUAACCACU
ensembl:lncRNA